GUGGUGUCUUAUAAGAGCAUAUGGCGGAUGCCUUGGCUUUGAGAGGCGAUGAAGGACGUGGCGUGACUGCGAAAAGCUUCGGGGAGGUGUCUAGCAACCUUUGAUCCGGAGAUCUCCGAAUGGGGAAACCCCAUUCACUGAAGGUGAAUGACCUCUGACUUUGUGUUGGGGGAGCAAACCCGGGGAAGUAAAACAUUUCAGUACCCGGAGGAAAAGAGAACAAUUGUUAUUCCCUUAGUAGCGGCGAGCGAAACGGGAAGAGCCUAAACCCAGCUUUACUGCUGGGUGUUGCAGGGAAGUAUCGUUCGUAAGAAGGAAGUUACAAUAGCGUUGUUAACAGAAGGCGGCUGGAAAGCCCCACCACAGAGGGUAAUAGUCCCGUACGUGAAAAUGACGUUAUACUUUUUGAUACUUUUCCUAAGUACCCCGACAAACGACUGCGUCGGGGGAAUCUGGCGGGACUAACCGCUAAGGCUAAAUACUCUCAAAGACCGAUAGUGAACUAGUACCGUGAGGGAAAGGUGAAAAGCAGCCCGGUGAGGGCGAUGAAAUAGUACCUGAAACCAUAUGCUUACAAGGACUCGGAGGUCGCCUUAGGCGACUGACGGGGUGCCUAUUGAAGAAUGAGCCAACGAGUUAUCAUGUAUCCUUUGUCUAAGAGCUUCGGCUCGGAGGCACAGGGAAACCAAGUGUUAAUAGCGCGUUUACCUGCUCGAAUUUUUGGACUUAAAAAAAAGCCCCCGAAGAGGCUCAAAGAGAAAGCGUGGAAUGGACUUUUACCAUUAUCCUUCAAUGUGUGAAGUGUCUUUUUCGUUAGACGACCACGCUUUCGUUCUUAAAGAGAGUCUACCAAGAAUAAUAAAAAAGUCAAGAGUUUAAAAAUUCGAGCAGGUGAGGGUACAUGAUAGACCCGAAGCUGGGUGAGCUUGCCAUGACCAGGGUGAAUUCUGGGUAAUACCAGGAGGAGGCCCGAACCGGUGAGUGGUGCAAAACUCUCGGAUGAGUUGUGGUAAGGAGUGAAAAGCUAAUCGAACUCAGUAAUAGCUGGUUCUCUCCGAAAUAGCUUUUGGGCUAGCGCCUUGAGUGCGCCUGGAGGUAGAGCUACUGGAAGGGUGGUAAAGGGAGCAAUCUCGACCGUCCUAUCAAACUCCGAAUGCCAGGAACGUGAAUCAAGGUAGUCAGACUAUGGGGGCUAAGCUCCAUUGGUCGAAAGGGAAAGAGCCCUGAUCGCCAUCUAAGGCCCCAAAGUGCAUGCUAAGUGUCAUAAGGAAGUAAGGAUUCCCAAACAGCGAGGAGGUUGGCUUAGAAGCAGCCAUCCUUUAAAGAGUGCGUAACAGCUCACUCGUCGAGAGUCCUUGCGCCAAAAAUAAUCGGGGCUAAGCAUGCCGCCGAAGAUGCGACUAAGUACUCAAUUCGUUGAGUGCUUGGGGUAGGAGAGCGUUCUUUUCGCAGUGAAGUCCACGGCGUGAGCCGGGAUGGAGCGGAGAGAAGUGAGAAUGUUGGCACAAGUAACCACAAUGGCGGUGAGAAACCGCCACACCGUAAGCCCAAGGUUUCCUUGGCGAUGGCAAUCAGCCAAGGGUUAGGCGGUCCUAAGGUAAUGGCGAAAGCCGCAGCUGAUGGACAGACGGUUAAUAUUCCGUCCCCUCGCGCAUAAUCUAUGGAGUGACGGGGAGGUGUAGAUUUCGCAUGUUAUUGGAUUUGUGUUCAUGUUCAUAAGAGGCGUGCCAGGAAAAUCCGGUACGCGUUCCGGCGCAAGUUGGAAGCUCAAGGGAAUGUGAAAAUUCUCCGUUUCGGCGGAGGAAAUGAAAUCGAAAGCUCCUCCAGGAAAACCUUCUAAGAUUAUUAUGCGUGAGACCGUACCGCAAACCAACGCCGGUGGGCGAGGCGAGUAGCCUCAGGUGAACGGGUGAUUCCUCCCUAAGGAACUCGGCAAAAAAGCGGCCGUAACUUCGGGAUAAGGCCUUCCCGGCAACGAUAUAGCAAUAUAUUGAAGCCGGGAUGCAACUAAAGUAUCUCUGGCGACUGUUUACCAAAAACACAGCUCCCUGCGAACUCGUAAGAGGAUGUAUAGGGGGUGACACCUGACCAAUGCGGGAAGGUUAACGAUUGAGGUUCCUGCUUCGCUUUUUGCUUCGCAAAAAGUUACGCAGGACAAGCGCACUCUAUGAUGCGCCUGUCCUGCGAAGCUCGUAACGAAGUGGAGAGCGAAGUAGGAGCUAAGGUCCGAAGCCCCCGUCAAUGUCGGCGAUAACUAUAAUCGUUAACUCGGCUACCUCCUGCCAAAAGCGGGACAAAGAGUUAGGGCGAUUGUAAAAUUCGACUAUUUGCUGGAACAGCUGUUCCUUUAAUGGAUGAAGAUCAUAUACUACCGAAUAGGUGAUAAUGUAUAUGUGCAGCCAAUCAGCAGGAAAGACUCAAUGCUUGCAAUAACAAAUUGCAAAAUGGAAAAAGAAGUACAAAAAAUUCUUGCUCAAUUUAAGGGCAAACAAAAGUCUCUCAAUUAUUAUCUCGCGGGAUUUGUUGAUGGCGAAGGCAGUUUCAGUGUUGCCAUCAUCAAGACAGACAUGCAAAAAUUCGGUUGGGCGAUCAAUCCGUGCUUCCAAGUGUACCAGCAUGAGAAACAUCGCGAAAUUCUGGAAGUGUUCAAGUUUGUUUUCCAAACAGGAACAAUUUACCGGAAAUCCGGAAUUCAUCCGGUACUGAAUUAUAGCAUCAACUCGAUGAGAGGCAUUACUGAAAAAGUGAUUCCUUUCUUUGAUAAGUAUCCGCUCAUAGUAAAAGGAGAAACAUAUCAAAAAUUCCGCGAAAUCGUUUUUGCGAUGCAACGGAAAGAACACUCCACAAUCGGAGGGUUCAAAAGACUCGUUGAUAUUGCAUAUGCAAUGAAUCAGCAAGGCAAGGGAAGGAGAAGAACAAGAGAAGAAAUUUUCUCUACCUUGCCAGAAUUAUCAACCCGCCUGCCGGAUGGGCAGGCAUCCAAGCAUUGAGAAUCCUCAGAGACUAUACGUCGAAUCUUAUUACAUUUGUAAUUAAUUACACAUGUGGUGGGAAUGAUAUAGUCCAUUCCACAUGGCGACAUGUGGGGCAAAAUGCCUAAGGUAGCGCAAUUCCUUGUCUG
rnacentral:ncRNA from 1 species